CCCGACUUACCAACCCGAUGCAAACUGCGAAUACCGGAGAAUGUUAUCACGGGAGACACACGGCGGGUGCUAACGUCCGUCGUGAAGAGGGAAACAACCCAGACCGCCAGCUAAGGUCCCAAAGUCAUGGUUAAGUGGGAAACGAUGUGGGAAGGCCCAGACAGCCAGGAUGUUGGCUUAGAAGCAGCCAUCAUUUAAAGAAAGCGUAAUAGCUCACUGGUCGAGUCGGCCUGCGCGGAAGAUGUAACGGGGCUAAACCAUGCACCGAAGCUGCGGCAGCGACACUAUGUGUUGUUGGGUAGGGGAGCGUUCUGUAAGCCUGUGAAGGUGUACUGUGAGGUAUGCUGGAGGUAUCAGAAGUGCGAAUGCUGACAUAAGUAACGAUAAAGCGGGUGAAAAGCCCGCUCGCCGGAAGACCAAGGGUUCCUGUCCAACGUUAAUCGGGGCAGGGUGAGUCGACCCCUAAGGCGAGGCCGAAAGGCGUAGUCGAUGGGAAACAGGUUAAUAUUCCUGUACUUGGUGUUACUGCGAAGGGGGGACGGAGAAGGCUAUGUUGGCCGGGCGACGGUUGUCCCGGUUUAAGCGUGUAGGCUGGUUUUCCAGGCAAAUCCGGAAAAUCAAGGCUGAGGCGUGAUGACGAGGCACUACGGUGCUGAAGCAACAAAUGCCCUGCUUCCAGGAAAAGCCUCUAAGCAUCAGGUAACAUCAAAUCGUACCCCAAACCGACACAGGUGGUCAGGUAGAGAAUACCAAGGCGCUUGAGAGAACUCGGGUGAAGGAACUAGGCAAAAUGGUGCCGUAACUUCGGGAGAAGGCACGCUGAUAUGUAGGUGAAGUCCCUCGCGGAUGGAGCUGAAAUCAGUCGAAGAUACCAGCUGGCUGCAACUGUUUAUUAAAAACACAGCACUGUGCAAACACGAAAGUGGACGUAUACGGUGUGACGCCUGCCCGGUGCCGGAAGGUUAAUUGAUGGGGUCAGCGCAAGCGAAGCUCUUGAUCGAAGCCCCGGUAAACGGCGGCCGUAACUAUAACGGUCCUAAGGUAGCGAAAUUCCUUGUCGGGUAAGUUCCGACCUGCACGAAUGGCGUAAUGAUGGCCAGGCUGUCUCCACCCGAGACUCAGUGAAAUUGAACUCGCUGUGAAGAUGCAGUGUACCCGCGGCAAGACGGAAAGACCCCGUGAACCUUUACUAUAGCUUGACACUGAACAUUGAGCCUUGAUGUGUAGGAUAGGUGGGA
rnacentral:rRNA from 1 species